rnacentral:rRNA from 1 species
CUACGGGGUGCUGCAGUGAGGAAUAUUGGUCAAUGGCCGAGAGGCUGAACCAGCCAUCCCGCGUGCAGGAUGACGGCCCUAUGGGUUGUAAACUGCUUUUCUACGCCAAGAGAUCUGAUUACGUGUAAUUAGUUGACGGUAGCGUAGGAAUAAGCAUCGGCUAACUCCGUGCCAGCAGCCGCGGUAAUACGGAGGAUGCAAGCGUUAUCCGGAUUCAUUGGGUUUAAAGGGUGCGCAGGCGGGCUUGUAAGUCAGUGGUGAAAUACUGCCGCUUAACGGUAGAACUGCCAUUGAUACUGCAAGUCUUGAAUAUGGUUGAGGUAGGCGGAAUGUGUUGUGUAGCGGUGAAAUGCAUAGAUAUGACACAGAACGCCGAUUGCGAAGGCAGCUUACUAAGCCAUUAUUGACGCUGAGGCACGAAAGCGUGGGGAGCGAACAGGAUUAGAUACCCCAGUAGUC